rnacentral:rRNA from 1 species
CACGUAGGGGGCGAGCGUUGUCCGGAUUUAUUGGGCGUAAAGAGCUCGUAGGUGGUUCGGUAAGUCGGGUGUGAAACCUCCAGGCUCAACCUGGAGACGCCACCCGAUACUGCUGUGACUGGAGUCCGGUAGGGGAGCGUGGAAUUCCUGGGUGUAGCGGUGAAAUGCGCAGAUAUCAGGAGGAACACCAGCGGCGAAGGCGGCGCUCUGGGCCGGUACUGACACUGAGGAGCGAAAGCGUGGGGAGCGAACAGG